AUUUAAAGGGUUUUCCGUAGGGUGAAACCUGCGGAAGGAUCAUU
rnacentral:rRNA from 1 species